UUGCAAGUCAUGGGGUGAAGAUUGGACGGUUCUGUUUUGCCAAAACAGUUGCCUCCAUGGUAACAGCAUGUGAUAUCCUUGGAAAAGUGAUCUGUAGGACUACUGAGUUGGAAGGAGGAGACGGGGCUGGAGCAGGAGACGGAGAGGGCAGGUUCCAGGCCGGCGCUGGAAGCAAACAACUUUCCUCUCUGAGCCAGUCACAGGAAGGAUGCAGCCAGGAAGACCAGUGAGGCUACCUUUCCACAGUACUGGGAACAUCUCCGCUGAAAACCCAUCAUGGUUCUGGGUCAAAAGCAGCACGGAAACAAGUGGAAUUGCCUGCAGACUCAUUCUGAAUAAAGGGUGGGUCCACAUGGAGAAGGCUGCAUCCAGAUGUGCUUGUGAUUGGCUCUGCUUCUAAAGUGUGGAUGCUAUUUUGAGAAGGCUGUUGUAGAUACAGUAUCUCCAGAUCUUACAUCUCAACUUUAAGCCCACUGGAAGAGUGAGAAUCUUUAUUGCAGCAUUCUCAGAAGAAAGUCUGAUUACCCAUCACUUACCAUCUCCUUACCAAUCACUUUGGCUUGGGCCAGCACCACAUGGAGCCCUACCAGAGGAGACAUGUGGUCUAUGAGUGAGGAUGAGCAUAGUUCCCCAGAAAGGAUGGAAUAGGCUUGUUAUUAGAAGGUUGAAUGGAUACAGGAGCACAAAAAGCACAGAUGCUCACCACGAAUGAAUUAGUCUGGGGACAAUAGAGAAGGCUCCUUUUUGGAAGACAUGAUAUCUUUGUGAUCUGAAGGAUGUGUAGAAGUUAGUUAUAUUUUAGAGAAGGUGAAGAGCAUUCCAUGUUGAGGGAACAACAUAUUAAAGGUUGCCUAGGAGCGUGGUAGGGAAGAACAUUGUAUGUUUCAGGCCAGCAUGAUCAAAAAAUGAUAAAGAGGGAGAGAGACGGGAGAGAGACAGGAGAGAGACAGGAGAGUAGGUUGGAGAUGUAAUAGGUAUCAGAUUGCAUCAGGUCUUGUAGGUCAUAGCAGAGCCUCUAUCCUUUUGGUUUUCAUCUAGCCAUAUGGAUCAAUGGACGGCAGACAAGGGACUAAAUGAAAAAAAAAAUUUGAGAUAACUUGCCUGAGUGACUGUCAUGUUCCACAGACAAUAUUUCAUUGCAAUCUGAGUGGUCUGCCCACUUUUUAAAAUGUGCUUGAUGUAGAUAUAUCUAAUAUUUCUUGAAAUCAGUGAUUCCUUAGCUGAGCAUUAGAAAUCAUUGUGCUCACCCGAGGUGUUUGAUAUAAUAGUACUUAGUGGGAGUAGGAUAUGACUGACAUAGUGAGAAAAGAUGUUAUCAUCAUUCUCUUUUGAUUUAGACUCACAUAUCCUUCAAAUAACUUUGCUAACAAUCUUUCAAUGGUUGGAACUGGACCACUUCUAAGCAAUAGUUAAUUAUUAAUAUUUAAAGAAGAAGAAUGAGUGUGCAAUGUCUCAGCACAGCCAUAAUUUCGUCAAACAUGAGGCGUAGGGGCUGAAUCACCGGCUGAGCCCUGGGGUCUAUGCUCCUUGGAUCUCAGAAGACAGGAACAUCUUAGAAAACAGAAGGCAAUAGAAACUUCAGCCAGGGGAUUGUCUUCAGAUUACCACCUCCUUUCACCUCACGAGUUUCCACAUUAUUAAGAGAUCAAAAGCUACUGUGGAAGGGGUGACCUGGUGGUGUAGUGGUUAAUCCGCUUUGGCAGCCCGGGG